CCGCAGCAUAUUUUGCUUCUAUGACUGAAGUCCAAAGAGUUAAGAAAUUGGCCGCGCAAUCCCAACCUAAUUCGCGAAAAUUCACAUCGCAAAAUACUCACCUCUAAAUUUAUAAUCAGGCAAAUUUCAAUCGAAAUCGUAAACCCAAUUUGCAAUAUCAAACUUUCCAUCCAACAUAAUUGAACGAAAAGUUGGAUGGGAAAUUGAACGCAAAAAAAUAAUUCAGUUACUCUCCGUACUACUUCCCAUCCAAUUGAUGGCGCCAAAAUUCAACGAAAAGUUGAAUGUGACAUUAUAUUCAAGUUUACGCACAAUUUUUCAUCAAAUUGUCGUUUUCUCGCGUCAGUAUCACAAUAUUUACUUUUCAUUUGACAAGCUGCAUUCAAGAGUUGAAUGAAAAGUUCGAAAGUGUGCGUUGUGUGUGGGCUUUACUGAACUCGAUAACAUUGUUGAGAUUAUCAGUGGAGGAUCCCAAAAAUACACAAUAUUGUCUCUAAAUCCAGAAUGCGGAUUUGGUCUCAGCCUUAAAAACCUAGGGGCCAAUCUCGUCCUCGAGGACCCCCUUCCGCCCACGCAAAAGACCUAUGAAUCUUCCUGAGCUUGCUAAGUCAAACUUCCUCCAGCAAUUACAGAUAUUCAGGGCCAGGACGGCAACAUGGCAUGAGAGGCUAGACGCUGGCUACAUCAGGGAGCCAGAGUGGGCCCAAUUAAACAAUCAAACGAUUAUGGCCACUUGUAUUCCAAGUUGCUCGUGUUCCGUUCGUUCCAGGCCCGGGUAAUUGUUGCGUAAACAUUAAACAAGAGCACCUCAACAUCCACGUCGUUAAGCACUCCGGCCUCCGGUCCGAUGAGGUGCUUUCAGAGUUUUGGUCGCCUUAAUUUGGCUGAUUAUUGAGAGUGAUCGACAAAGCGAUAGACAAAGAAGACAAAGGGAGUUUGGAGCUAUCCUAUUGGUUUUCAUGGGUGAGUCCUAUAGACUAAGGGAGAAAAUGAUGGACUAACUACAGGGUCUCUCGUGGGUUGCCCUCAGUUAGCCUAUUACCUACCUCCUUUGUCCAUUGCAACCAACCGCUUCCUCAAAUAGGAUCCCUCCUUAUCCCUUUUGUAUUCUUUGUCUAUAGCUUUGUCUAUCAAUUUCAAUAAUCGGCCCGCAGACAAGAUUUUCAUGACGUCAUACUUUGAUAUCAGUCGUAACAUGCUUACAUCAGCUUGCGAUAUUAUGCCUCCUAAUAUGUUUUAUUUUCUCUGAGGAAAAUAAGAAAUAGAUAUUUUCAUUUUGUAAGUUCUUAAAGAAUGAGUGAGAAAAAU
rnacentral:lncRNA from 1 species